CGUUUUCCCCUACAAAAGGAUUCUGAGGCAAAGACUCAGAGAGGGUUGUGUCGAGGUGUUGGUGGAGUGGCAACCUUGCUCUGGAUGUGGAGCAAAGUGGAAAAACUCCUGGGAGCCCAAAGACAACGUUCUUCCUUAAAAAAAAUUGUUAAAAUUGUGUUUGUUGUGUUAUGUGACACAAAUUUGUUUUGGUAAGUUGUUUGUUUUCUGUUGUUGGGAAGGUAAUAAACAUAUUGUUUUACU